rnacentral:misc_RNA from 1 species
GAUAAAACUCAAAGACGAGGCAUGAAGUUCUCGUUCAAAGUAAAGAAUACAGUUGUCAAUGCCUUAAAGACAAAUUUAAAAGGUGUGAUUGUCCUUACUUGAACAGUAGAAAUUUUUGAGGAUGAUUGUUUAGGUGAUCACAAUCCUAAUCAACCUUGUGAGAAUUUGGUACCAAGUACUUCUCAAGAUGAAAAUCCAUGUGAGCG